rnacentral:rRNA from 1 species
UAUGGAACGUGCCCAGUCGUGGGGGAUAACUGCUCGAAAGAGCAGCUAAUACCGCAUACGACCUGAGGGUGAAAGCGGGGGAUCGCAAGACCUCGCGCGAUUGGAGCGGCCGAUAUCAGAUUAGGUAGUUGGUGAGGUAAAGGCUCACCAAGCCGACGAUCUGUAGCUGGUCUGAGAGGACGACCAGCCACACUGGGACUGAGACACGGCCCAG